GACGAACGCUGGCGGCGUGCUUAACACAUGCAAGUCGAACGGAAAGGCCCCUUUGGGGGUACUCGAGUGGCGAACGGGUGAGUAACACGUGCGUAACCUGCCCUUGACUUCGGGAUAACUUCAGGAAACUGGGGCUAAUACCGGAUAGGAAUCCUUGCUGCAUGGUGGGGGUUGGAAAGCUUCGGCGGUUUUGGAUGGACUCGCGGCUUAUCAGCUUGCUGGUGGGGUAGUGGCUUACCAAGGCUUUGACGGGUAGCCGGCCUGAGAGGGCGACCGGCCACAUUGGGACUGAGAUACGGCCCAGACUCCUACGGGAGGCAGCAGGGGGGAAUAUUGCACAAUGGGCGGAAGCCUGAUGCAGCAACGCCGCGUGCGGGAUGACGGCCUUCGGGUUGGAAACCGCUUUCAGCAGGGGCGAAGCUUGUGGUGACGGUACCUGCAGAAGAAGCACCGGCUAACUACGUG
rnacentral:rRNA from 1 species